UGCUUGUGCUCGUGUUUCCACUUGAAAUUCAAGCCUGUAAUCAUCCAAAAUCCUUGCUUAACUCGUCCAAAUAGCUCCUCCAUCAAUUGGCAUGCUUGAAUUGGUUCAUAAGCUGAUAAAAACAUGUAAACUUGCCACAAAAAUGGUUAAAACCAAUUACUAAGGACCUUAAUGAAUUAAUUGGGUUAAAUGAAUAUGAUUACUACUCAAAGGUGCUUAAAACCAUUAUUAUUAGGUCUACAAAAUAGCACUUUUUGGUAGUAAUCACACCCCCCAACCGACUCAUUGCUAGUCCCUUAGCAAUGGAGGAGAUAAAAACUAAGUAAACUAUAAUAAUAUACAUAAAAGGGAUCAUGCAAAUCACUCCAAAAAAUGAUAUGAGUGGCAUGAUGGACAUCCAUAGAUCAAUAAAGAUGUGAAACUCAACCUAUAAUAAGAGUUGUCAAAGCAUUCACUUGAUCAUAGAGUACAAAGACUGGAUAUUAUGCAAGUUUAAGCAUCAAAAGAAUUUCCACUCUCAAAAGAUCCAAAUCAAAUUCUUCCACUAAAAGCUAAGUGUUAAUGUGAUUAGCUUCCGAGUAUAGUAUGGAUAACUAUCAUCUCCUCCCAACCUAAGUCUUUCUUUAAGCUUAGAAAAAUUAACCAUCUCUUGAUAGGCUAGGAACGCACCUCUUAUUCACAAUUCUUUUCACUUACUAAACUUAACCAAUUCACCCAUGUAACAAGCAGAGGAUCGGUGACUCCCAACCAAUAAAGGCUUAGGGCACCAGGCUUUAAAGGCUUUCGCCACCCCUUCGGACCAUGCUCAGGUUUCAAGGUAAGAAAAGAAGUUUAUUCUAUUUUUUUUUUUUUUUUUUUCUUUUUCUUUUUCUAUUUUUUCAAAGACUCAUUGGUCUUUAUUAGGUGUCCCAACACUAUUAAAGAGAGGUUAAAGGUGUCAAAUUAUGAUUUCUCAAGCUUAGAGGGUGAGAUAGUUUCACAUCUUAUAACCGGAAUCUAAUGUAUGUGUGUGCGAAUAGCUUAAGGUGGAAGAGAUAAGUUUGCAUGCAAUGGGAGUUUCAACAAUUCAUCAACUUUUAGAAGAGCAUAAUACAAACUCUAAGACUCAUGUAAUCAAGUUGAAACUCGACUUCUCUCAUUUAAUUUUGAGAGUUAAUCCUUAAUAUCCAUGGAGUUUAAAGCAAAAAUUUUAAAAUUUAAACAAAAAGUAGCUAAUUUAACUAAGUAUGAUAAAAAAUUAAACUAAUACUUACUUCCUCAUCUCUCCCCCCAACCGAGAUGAACAUUGUCCUCAAUGUUUGAAUCAAAAAUAAGGAGGAAGGAAGUGGUACCUCAUGUGAUGUGGACUUGGAGUUGAGAAGGUUGAACCACCUGUUUCAAAAUUCAAAAAUUGAAUGAGAGAGGAAUUUAUACUAAAUAUUUACAAAAAUGAUGAGUGGGCCCCACUUUGAGCAGCUGAGGACAAGGCUC
rnacentral:lncRNA from 1 species